rnacentral:rRNA from 1 species
UACGAAGGGGGCUAGCGUUGCUCGGAAUCACUGGGCGUAAAGGGCGCGUAGGCGGCCGUUCAAGUCGGGGGUGAAAGCCUGUGGCUCAACCACAGAAUGGCCCUCGAUACUGGAUGGCUCGAGACCGGAAGAGGUUGGUGGAACUGCGAGUGUAGAGGUGAAAUUCGUAGAUAUUCGCAAGAACACCAGUGGCGAAGGCGGCCAACUGGUCCGGUUCUGACGCUGAGGCGCGAAAGCGUGGGGAGCGAACAGG